rnacentral:lncRNA from 1 species
AUUUUAUUAAGUAUGUACUAUGUAUAAGGCCCUGCCCUUUAGCUUUUUAUCUGCAGAGAUGUUGCAUAAGUCCUAGAGACUAGUUUGCCCUGGCACCUAGCAAUUUGAUAUUGACAUCAGGUACAAUCUUGCCUGAAGAGCUAUGUCACUUUGCUCUUCCCAUAAAUGCCGGUUUGGCAUUUACGGUCAUCUUAGCUUAAGAAAGGAAAAGAGUAGGAAAGGAGGGAGAAAUGGAGGAAGAAAGGAAGGAAAGAAUCAACCUAUCAAUCAAUUAGCAUUGAAGGAAGGGAAGAAAAAGAAAGAGAACUAAAACAAAGAAGAAAAAAGAAAAAAUUAAAAGAAAGAGAAUGGAAAGAAAGAGAAGAAGGAAGGAAGGAGAAGAAAAACAAUCCACAGUUUUGGACAAUAUCUCUUGGUGAGGAUAGAAGUGAGUGCCUUUCCUGGGAGCUACAUGGGAGCUACAUUUCUCAGAUAGCCAUCAUAUCUGCAAUAAAGACCUGAGUUUUACUCCCCUUGGAGAUUCAAAGGAGGAGGAUGUGGUUUAAUGCUUUUAUUUUUUUUAAAGGCAGGAUGUGCAAUGAGCCCUGACCACUAGGUCUACAACCUGUUUCAUACAUGAUCAGGAAUUCCCCUGACCCUGGCUGUGUCCAUAACGAUCAACUCAAGGAUAAAUUUCCAUCAAACUUGUUGUUUGGAAGAGUAAAUGAAAAAAGAAAAAGAAGAGAAACUGGAACCUCAUUUAGUUUUCUGGAGAGGAACUCAAAGAUGAGGCGGCAUCUUUCAGCACCCGACUUCCUGAACCUGUCAACCAACAAAGAUCGACUUUAAGAAUAAACUUCUGAGAGCAGCUAAGGCUCUGGAGUAU